UACGUAGGGUGCAAGCGUUGUCCGGAAUUAUUGGGCGUAAAGAGCUCGUAGGCGGUCUGUUGCGUCGGCUGUGAAAACCCGGGGCUCAACUCCGGGCCUGCAGUCGAUACGGGCAGACUAGAGUUCGGCAGGGGAGACUGGAAUUCCUGGUGUAGCGGUGAAAUGCGCAGAUAUCAGGAGGAACACCGGUGGCGAAGGCGGGUCUCUGGGCCGAUACUGACGCUGAGGAGCGAAAGCGUGGGGAGCGAACAGG
rnacentral:rRNA from 1 species